GAUGAACGCUAGCUACAGGCUUAACACAUGCAAGUCGAGGGGAAACGGCAUCGAAAGCUUGCUUUUGAUGGGCGUCGACCGGCGCACGGGUGAGUAACGCGUAUCCAACCUGCCCAUCACUUGGGAAUAACCUUGCGAAAGUAAGACUAAUGACCAAUGACAUCCCACGAAGGCAUCCGAAUGGGAUUAAAGAUUUAUCGGUGAUGGAUGGGGAUGCGUCUGAUUAGCUUGUUGGCGGGGUGACGGCCCACCAAGGCAACGAUCAGUAGGGGUUCUGAGAGGAAGGUCCCCCACAUUUGAACCGCGACACAGUCCAAACUCCUACGGGAGGCAGCAGUGAGGAAUAUUGGUCAAUGGGCGAGAGCCUGAACCAGCCAAGUAGCGUGCAGGAUGACGGCCCUAUGGGUUGUAAACUGCUUUUAUAAGGGAAUAAAGUGGGUCACGUGUGACUUUUUGCAUGUACCUUAUGAAUAAGGACCGGCUAAUUCCGUG
rnacentral:rRNA from 1 species